UACAGAGGGGGCAAGCGUUGUUCGGAAUUACUGGGCGUAAAGGGCGCGUAGGCGGCCCGCUAAGUCGAACGUGAAAUCCCCGGGCUCAACCCGGGAACUGCGUCCGAUACUGGCAGGCUUGAAUCCGGGAGAGGGAUGCGGAAUUCCAGGUGUAGCGGUGAAAUGCGUAGAUAUCUGGAGGAACACCGGUGGCGAAGGCGGCAUCCUGGACCGGUAUUGACGCUGACGGCGCGAAAGCCAGGGGAGCAAAGCGGG
rnacentral:rRNA from 1 species